rnacentral:rRNA from 1 species
CAUGUGAGGUGGGAGGCUCCUCCGAUGGGUUGGUUGAAGCUAAACUUUGACGGAUCCGUCUACCACAACGGGUCCGGCCGGGCGAGCAUCGGCGGCGUCAUCCGCGACUGCAACGGCCACGUCCUCGUCGCCUUCGCCGAGCCGACGGAGCACUCGACGGUGGGGAUAGUGGAGGCGCGAGCACUGAUCCGCGGGCUGCGGCUGGCGAUGAGUUUCUUCCGUGGCGGGCUGGUGGUGGAAGGCGACGACCAGGUGCUGGUGGAGCUCCUGACCGGGAAGGAGACGCAGACCCGCAUACCGCUUUCCAUGCAACAGGAGAUCCGCGCGCUGCUCAAGCAUUUCUCGACGUACCAGCGUCAGCACAUAUACCGCGAGGGCAACCAGGUCGCCCACGUCCUGUGCAAAGAAGCAUACCAGCGGCCGGGGGUGUGGAGGAGCGGGAUUGUGCCGCACGCCGUGUGGGAGAAGGCGCUGGAGGACAUGCAUGGCGUGGCGCAUGAGCGGAUCUGCAAGAAGAAGCAGCUGUGGUAG